rnacentral:rRNA from 1 species
AGGAUGAACGCUGGCGGCGUGCCUAACACAUGCAAGUCGAACGUCCUGUCUCGCAAGAGGCAGGGAGUGGCGGACGGGUGAGUACCACGUGGGUGAUCUACCGUGAGGUGAGGAAUACCGGCGAGAAAUCGCCGACAAUACCGCAUACGCUUCUCUUCACCGGGAAGCAAAGUUGCGCAAGCGACGCUCUGAGAUGGGCCUGUGGCCGAUUAGCUAGUUGGUGGGGUAACGGCCUACCAAGGCGACGAUCGGUAGCUGGUCUGAGAGGACGAUCAGCCACACUGGGAUUGAGAACGGCCCAGACUCCUACGGGGGGCAGCAGUGAGGAAUUUUCCGCAAUGGACGCAAGUCUGACGGAGCAACGCCGCGUGCAGGAUGAAGGUUUUCGGAUCGUAAACUGCUUUUCUCGGGGACAGCAAGGACGGUACCCGAGGAAGAAGCCCCGGCUAACUACGUGCCAGCAGCCGC